rnacentral:lncRNA from 1 species
CCGCGCCAUGGCCUCGCCUGCUACGCCGAGGGACCGUGUCGUGUUGCUUAAUUCCAUGUCUUUUGGCUAGCUGGAUCUUGUAUGUAGUGCGGCGUUGCAAGCUGGUGGUAGUCUGUACUCUAGUUUAGUGGCCCUUUCAUCAGAUCUCGAUGAGCAAGGCCGGCAUGGCACUGUGUCAGCGAUUCACUAUGCGGGAAUGGCUAAGGAAAGAUGCAAUCCUUUCAAUCUUAAUUGUCUUGUGAACCAAUGGCUGAAAUCAAUCUUGUGGAUCUUUGUUGCCUGUCUUUGCCUCGGUAAUAUUUGUUGUGGAUCUGAAAAUUGCCACAUGUGUUUUUGGCCUACUGAAGCAUGGUCCUCAGCUUCAGCCAGCCAUGAUAAACUUCUUAUCCUAGAUGUCAUCUUUCAGUUCGCAGUUAUUUAUCACCCUAUUAACAGGGCCACCGUGUUGAGGCCGAUUGUGUUUUACUUCCAAGGAGCAGGGAACUGGAUGAAUCAACAGUAACAUUCCAUCUUAUACGUGGUAACCAAACUCAGUAAAUUUCAUGUAGAUAUUUGACCUUGGGAUGCAUGAGCUUCUGGAGUGAAGGAGAAGUCAGCACGUUGGCAGGAACCUCGGCCAAGCCUUCAAUCCACAAGUUGGUACUUCAGAUUCGCAAACAGUAUAUACGUGCCCAGCGAAAGAUUGAUCUGACAUUUCUCAGUAAACAAACAAAUUCCUAGAGCAUUCUUAGUUUCUUGGUUAAAACGUGUAUAUUCAGCAAACUCGUUCCCACCACAACAGCAACAAGCCAUCCAAACUACAACACAGCUUCAAGAUGGCCAUUACAACAGACUCAAAUGCCCGGACUGCUACUAGCUCCAAACAAGCUACUGGAGUACUUACUACUUACCCAUAUAUAACACGACUGCUUCACUUGCUAAUACUAUAUAUACUUACUAAAUCAUAACUCUCCAUACAUACAUGCAUACUACACCGACUUGAGCCCCAACACCGUAGAGACCCCCUAUACAUUUGACAACCUCCAAAACGUACUGCAACAACAUACUAAGAGACAGCAGCACACGCCUACUCGGCAUGGUUCGAAUCACCCCCCUCGGAGAGCAUCCAGCGCAUGUACUCCGCCCCGUCGUCCAGCGAUGAGACCUCGCUGGGGAUGGUUACCCUCUUGCGAGUCAGCGUCUCUACCGUCACGGCCGCCCUCUUCCGCCCACCUCCUCGGCGCGAGCGCAGCUGCUCAUCCAUCUCCUCAUAGUCGCCCUGCGUCAAGUUAGGUAGGGCGUCAUUCACUUUGAUUUGGGCAGCAAGAGAAUUUGUAGACCAUACUACCGAGACUUUAGGCAUCGGCCGAAGGACUUAUGGAAUUUGUCCAUCAUACUGAUCAGCUAGCAAGACUCACCUCUACAUAUACAUGACAACUCGACUUCUCGUGAUUGUCCCUGACAUGCUUGUAGGGGAAUGUCUUGCCACACCCCGCGACCCGACACUCAAAAGGCCUGACUUGGUCGUGGCACGCCUUCAUAUGCAUGGUUAGAUUUGAUUUCUGCAAUGGAAAGGGGACACAUGAGUAAAGACAAAAGUGUGUGUACAUAAAACCACACUUGAAAGAAGAGUAAGGUAUCAGAAAGUGUAUCUAAGGUCUUACGUUGGAAAAGGAGCAUUCACAGCCAUCAAAACUGCAUUCCAGCCUUUCAGUAGAGUGCACUUUGUCAUGAACUCGUAGAUGCCUUUUAAUGUUCUUCCUCAGGUGUUUCUCCCCACAAAUAUCACAGUGAGUAUAUAGAUGGCAAGACUGGUUAUGAGCCUUCAGGCACUUGGCAUUUGUGAAUGUCUUCAAGCAGCCAGGCUCACAACAGACUACUUCCACAUAGUCCAAUUUGGCUGCCAGAAAAUAGCAAAACAUGCAUCAGGUCAAGACAUCCCUUAAAACACGUCAUGAAUAACAAGGAAUGAACUCCAGUAAAAAAUAAUAAAGAACGUGCUUCGGUACACAAUCUGAUUUAACAAGCUUUCUACUGAUGGAUUCUUAUCACUGAGGUCAUACCAUGUGACUCCUCGUGUUUCUUCAGCUGUGAAGGAUACUUGAAAGCCUUUUUACAGCCCUCCUCCUGGCAAAUAACCUGUUGGUUGCUUUUAGUGUCAUCAAUUUUGCAUUCGUGUUCUUCCUCAUGCAUUUCCUUAACAUGUCUUUGAAUAUUCGCCUUGAUGCUGAACCUCUUGCCACAACCUUCUAGAGGGCAUGUAAACAACUUGCCCUCAUGUGUAAGCAUAUGCCGGUUCAAGUGAUCUUUUCUUAUAUAGCUGAAGGGGCAGUCUUCAAGUGGGCAGGCGAAGGAUCUCUGCAGUCAAGCAAGAAAAAUAAGUCCAAAUUCAAACAGUUGCAGUACUUAUGGUUUGCUAAAUAUUACAUGUCACCCAAACAGAAAAAUACUGAUGCAAAUCUUCCCUAUCUCAAACCCUUAAACCCAUAUCAUCCAAAUAAUGAGGGAGCAAUAUAUUCUGAAAAUCGGAUUCUCAUGAAACGACUACAAGAUAAAACCCUUCAACUCAAAUUUAUGCUCAAAAUUUCAAGAUAAUAGAUAGGAACCUACAUAGUCAUUUCAAUCAAACAUUUAUAGUAAUAAAAGGAAAAUAGGUUAAAGAAUAAUGAAGCAAAGACCAAAUUCAAUGACCCAAGUUUAGCAAAAUAUUUUGUUCUCUUAAAGUCCAAUGAGAGAGGAGUAUCGUCAUCAUAGCGAGCAGAGAACCAAUGAAGAAGGUGCUAGCUUUCUGAGACGACAUCUUGAUAUCGGAUCCUCACUCUUGGCAAAGCUCCCUUAAGGAAACCCACUAAGAGAUAGCAGGAUAAGAUAAGGGCAUUGCCACCCUCAUCUCCAAAAGGAUCCAAGAACACCUAUAAGUUUAUUAUUACAAGUAUUGUCACCAUAGCGAGCUGAGAACCAAUGAAGAAUGGUGCUAGCUUUCUGAGAAGACAUUUUGUUAUCGGAUCCUCUCACUCUUCGCAAAGCUCCAUUGAGGAAACCCACUAAGAGAUAGUAGGAUAAAACAAGGGUAUAGCCACCCUUAUCUCCAAAGAAUCCAAAACACACCUAAUAGCUAUUUGUUGAGUCAAGAUAUGAAUAUUGUCACCAUAGCGAGCUGAGAACCAAUGAAGAAUGGUCCUAGCUUUCUGAGACGACAUUUUGAUAUCGGAUCCUCUCACUCAUGGCAAAGCUCCCUUAAGGAAACCCAGCACGAGAUAGCAGGAUAAGAUAAGGGAAUUGCCGCCCUCAUCUCCAAAGGAUCCACAACAUUUACAAUUAUUAACUGUCAAAUAAAGAUGGAAGUAUCCACACCAUAGCGAGCUAAAGAACCUAAUAAACAAGGACCAAGCUUUCUGAGAUGGCAUCUUGAUUUUGGAUCCAAUCUUUGCUCCAACUAAGGACCCCAAAACAUGAAGCCCAAAGAAGUAACAGAGAAAGAGGACAGUAGAAAGAUAGGAGAUAGAUGGCGUCCCAUAUUCCCUGAAGGAUCCAUUUUACAACUAUGCAACAUCACAAUGAACAAUGGACAGCAUCAAGCCAAUCAUAACUCAGUUACCUAUGCUUUAAUGCCCUAAUAGGCAGCAUCAAGCCAAUUAUAACAGUUAUAUAUGCUUCCACGGCCUAUGUAACUGCAGACUAGCCAGGAAAUUCAAACAUAUUUUAUACGCAACUCAAUAGAUGAAAAACAAUUCGGCAGGCAUUUGCAUAGUACAAACAAAAACAAACAAAAUAUUAUGCAGAUUAUCAGAGUUAUGUAAUGAUUAAAACAGUACUAAACGAGUAUAAAAAAGGACAAACCUCCUGAAUAAGCGUGAAGGAGGCAAUCUUGUUGGAGCUUCACAGGAGGUCAUCCCAACCUGUUACUAGUCCAACCAAGAUUAAAAUGUGCCUCCAUGCAUUUUGGAGUUCUGUAAUGGGAUCCAAUGCUUCACGCUGUUAAGUAUCUAUUAUCUAAACCCUGCAAAACAGUUGUGUUUGGCGAAUUGUAUAAAAUAGAACAAUUUGUUUCCUGGAAAGAUUCAUGGAUGCAGAAAAUACAGGGAAACUGUGCGGUGUUAUUGACUUGUCCAGUAGUCUCAAAUUCUAUUCAUUCAUGAGAAAUACCAACCUCUUUGGAAUGACUUUGCAUGUGCUGCUUCAGAUGAGCUGGCUUCCGGAAACAAGCUCCGCACUCUUCACAUGAGUGUUCAACCCCAUGAACAACCUUUUCACCAUUUGAGUUAUAGAUUUCUGAUGCGUCUAACUCAUCCUAUAGAUAAAUUUGGGAGAGAGUAUUAUCAAUAUCACACAUUUUCUCAACAGGGCGAAAAGUAUGUGGAAACAUAAAGGGAAAGUACAUCAUUCGUAAAAAAAAACAGAAUAUAAAAUGCAUAAGCAUAAAAGUGAAACGGUUAGAUUUAAUUGAUGCAACCCACAUAAAGUACCAUUAUCUAUGAUCUACAGAGCGGACAAAAUCACUGGAUUUGACUUCCUAUUUGAAGUAGGAUGAGGCAUACAUGAUUCACAUCUAUAUUUUCAUCCUUAGUGUUACACUACAAUGCAAGUCUGCAGAUCGGGGUCAUAGCUAUCGCAGUGAUUCUGGUUGAGUGGUCGUAAUGUUGCGAUAGGCGUAUUUAUGUUCUAAGUUAUAACAUCACCUAAGAUUUCGUUCUCGCCUGGUCUACGUGCAAGGUGAAGUUAUUUACAACUUGAUGAAAACUUGAUUAAUAAAAGUGGGCAAAAAUGAGAAAAGAUACACCUAUACAUCAACUAAACCAAAAAAGGGUGCACAAUGCCUUUCAGCACAAAGAAGAUAUAAUCUUAACCAUGUGCCAAAAAUAUCUGUAAAAUAGUGUACCUUGUGCUGAGCAACCAUGUGAGCUCGAAUGAGAUACAUCUUGGACCUAACAACAGUGCAAAAAUCACACUUGAUGCGUCUAAUAUCUUUGCUAUGCGUCUCUUCAGACUUUUCAUCUCCAUCGAUCCCAUUUCCAGAAGACAUCUAACAGUAGUGAACAAGAAAGUUAGAAGUGGUGUUUAUUACAAAAUAGCAAGCAACUUGAUGAAACAUUCAUAUGUACCGAAUACAAACAGAACAAAACAAGAAAAUUGAAAAUGAUUGCAAACAUGUACAUAACUCACCUACCUAUCUACUCUUCUUUUAUCAAAUAUAUCAACAACCAAUGCAAGUAUCGCAAACUUUUAAAGUGGAUAACUUAAUAUGAAUGUUAAUGACUCUACAGCAUGUGAAACCCCAAUCAGAAAAAUACAGGGCAUUGCCUUUAAGUUUUAAGCAUAAUACAGAAAAAAGGCAUCCAUAAUUACAAGACAACGCAUAACAAUAUAUGAACAGUGCAUUAAUCACAGUAUAUGGCUACAAAAUCCAAAAAUUCUGGGACAAGACACAAGACUAUCUCAGGAACUCAGAAAAUCUCUUAUAUAAGUUACUAAUGAAGAAAUGGCCAGUAUACAUAUUUAGAAUAAGAGUUCCUCAUCCACACAGAUUAAUGAGUUUUCUUCCAGUGCAGAUGAUCUAAGAUCCAUCUUUAACUGCCUAUCAAUUCCUUCCAAGGUGUCAUAAAUUUCCCUUCGAGCAUCAUGCGCCUUGUCCUGUACCAAGAAUUCAUGGACACCACCAUCGACUUCAAUCCAACUACACCCUGGUUUUUUGAAGAUAUUCCUUGUCAACAUUUGUUUCCUUAUAUCCAGAGCUUCUUUCCACCUAUCUGAUGAGGCAUAGAUAUUCCAAAGAAGCACAUAAACCCCAUCAUCCCCUGGUUCUCUCUUUAUAAUUUCCUGCCCGGCAGUCUCAGCCAAUCUAUCAUUGCCAUGAACAAGGCAUGCACUAAGAAGUGACCUCCAUAUAACAGUAUCAGGUUCCACAUCCAUAUCAUAUAUCAGGGCUUCUGCUUCCUCUAAUAGCCCACCCCGUCCUAACAAAUCAACAAUGCAUCCAUAGUGCUCAAGCUGUGGUUUAAUGUUGUAGAUCCUACGCAUUUUGUCAAAUAACUCUCUGCCUUGCUGUAUUAACCCAGCAUGGCUGCAGGCUGACAAAACUGAAACAAAGGUCACACUAUUUGGAACAACCCCAGACCUUAGCAUGUCCUCGAAGAGCUCAAGAGCUUUUAUCCCAUCACCCUGGACAGUGAAGCUCGAGAUCAUGGUUGUCCAUGUGAAUGCGUCCUUCAACGGCACUUCUUCGAACACGGCAAAAGCCAUCUCUAUACUUCCACUCUUUGCAUACAUGUCCAUCAGAGCAUUGCUAACAAUAAUAUUUGUGCUGAUAUUGAACUUACUUCCAUACCCAUGAAUGACACGCCCAAGAUCUAGAGAGCCAAUGUCAGCGCAGGCAGACAGUACACCUACAAUUGUGACAUGAGUAGGACGGUGACCCUCCAGCACCAUCCUACCAAAAAUUUCUAGAGCCCGGAUGGGCUGCUUGGCCUGAACAUGGCCAGUCACCAACGCUGUCCAGGAAACCGUGCUCUUCACCGGCAUCCGGUCAAAGAAGGACAGCGCCGCAUCCACACCAACACACUUCAUAUACCCAUGCAGCAUGCUGCCCCAGGUGACCUCGUCUUUCACCGCCAUUUCGUCGAACACCCCUAGCGCACCCUCGAACCUCCCGCACCGGCAAUACAUAUCGACCAGAGCGUUGCCGACGACCAGCUCAGAGCCCAACCCGCAACGGAAAAUGAGCCCAUGCACCCCUGAACCAGCGCGCAGAUCGCCAGCCCCGCCGGACGCCGAGAGGGCGCCGACGACCGCAAAGCCAUCGGGGCGGUGGCCGGAGGCGACGGCGCGCGAGAACGCGGACAUGGCCUCGCGGUGCUGGCUCAGCUGGAGGUGGAGCGACAUGAGGCUGGUGAAGGAGACGAGGUCCGGGCAGGGGAUCUCGCCGAACAGCCGGCGCGCCUCGGCGGGUCGGCCGAAAUCGGCGUAGCACCGGAAGAUUUUGCACGAGAUGGACUGGUUACUGGGAUGGAGGCCAUUGACAAGGGCCCGGGCGUGGAUUCUCUCGAGCUCUCGCAGGGAUCUGCACUGGGCGAGCAGGUGAUGGCAGACGCUCCUGUUCAUCCACCGCGGCCACCUGGAAUUAGAGCCGACAUUACUGGCUAAACUGGUAAGCGGUCCACUCUACUGGCGACCGUCAGCGACAAAUCGCCGCAGCUCGCCGCGGAUCUGGACAAACGCCAGGAGAAAUCUAGGCGCGCGGCGAAGGCCUAGCUCGCGCUCCGGACAUUUUUCAGCUCGUGGAAUGAAAUGCAGCGGUGCUGACGAUUGUUCGGGCUAAAUCAUGGCGAGGAGAGGGAGAGGUUCGCUGGGGAUUCGAGAGGGAGGGCGGGGACGGGUGCUCACCGUGGACUCGGAGGGUGCGGCCGUGGGGGACGGAGCUGGGGAUGACGCUGGCUCGUGGGCAGCGGGGAGGCGGCGGCGGAGGGAGGGAGGGAGGGAGGGAGUGGUUUCCUUGGCUGUUAUGGAGGCUGGCUGGUGGCCUCUUUAAAACCCUAGCGCGCCGGUGUCUUCCUGGGCCUAGUGGGCUUCGCAGCGGAUGGGCUGACGACGUCUGGAAAGGAGAGCUCCCUCCUCCCACGCGGCGGGGAAGCUGCACAUAUAUUCCCGCCGUUGUCAUCCUGGUUUUCAGAAAGAAAGAAAAAAAAACUGAACGAAAUCACCAGCUAAGUAAGGUUUAGGGGUAUGAGGGAUGGUACAAUUUCAACAUUUCGCUCCUCAAACCACUCGAAAUGAACGAAAAUCUAGCCGAUCCGUCAAGUUCGUGAGCACCUUUGUGUUGAUUCUUUGCUACAAUGCUCGUACCUAGAAAUUGUAAAAUCACAAGCUAAAUGAAAACAACAAUCAAAACUGCCGUCGCUGCCCUGAAGGUCGUCCUCCUUCCGUCAUGGUAUCGAUCACCUCCAUGUUAUCCGAGUUAUAAUAAUGCGAUUGCAUCCUAUCCUUCUUUGCGCUAGGGACAAGACAAAUUUUAGGGCCAGAGCUUCGGCCACACUAGCUAGUAGAAAAAGAACCUAAUGUUCAGCCGGUUCGAACGGCUAUGCAUUAGUCCCGGUUCGCGUUGAACCUUUAGUACCGGUUCAUGGCACAAACCGAUAAUAAAGGAGUGGUGGCAGGCUGACGUCAAGCCGGGGCCCCACGAGCCCCUUUAGUCCCGGUUUGUGACACGAACCGGGACUAAAGGUGUAACCUAUAGUGCCGGUUUGUGUCACAAACCGGGACAAAAUGGGUCUAACCUUUAGUUCCGGUUGAAGACAUAAACCGGGACUAAAGGGCAAUUUUCAAACUCUACCCCCCCUUAUCGCCAUUUCAGUUUUGUAAAAAACAAAAAAAAUGAUAGAAACUUCAAAAUUAAAAUCCUUCGAGAUGUAGUUAUGUUACUACAUCUACUAGUUAGGAAAAUUAAAAACCUUAAAUUUGAACAUGUUUUGCAAAAAAGUGUUAUCAAAAAGUAAAACGGCCAUAUCUACGGCCUGUUUGCAAAUUUUUAGAAUCCUCAAAUUCUAAAAGGAAAAAAAGAUAUGCUCAAAUUUCAUUUUUUUUUAUUUUUGUUAAAUCUGGUCAAAUUGUGUUCAAACUAUCGUCAAACUAAUUAUUCAAGAAAUAUUAGUGUUAAUAAAUAAUUAUUUUAGUUUUUUUGACUUUUGGUCAAACUACUUAUUUAAGAAAUAUUUCUGUUACUAAAUAAUAAUUAUUUUUUAGAAUAAUAGUUUUAAACUCAAACGGUGAAACAUGUGACUUCAUGCUCAAGCUAAAUUUCCGAGGGUUAAUAAGAUUGACAGCUUACUAUUGUCAGGUAAACAACAAGUGCAGACUUGGAAACUAGGGGGGAAUAGAACUCGGAAGUUAAGCGUGCUUAGGUUGGAGUAGUGAGAGGAUGGGUGAUCGAUCGGGAAGUUAGACGAUUUGGAAUGAUGAUGGGUGAUUAGAGCAAUGAUGAGCGGUGAUUAGAGACUAAAUCGUCAAGUAAUUCAGAAAUUUGAAAAAACAAUCAUUUUUUUCAAAAAAAAAUAAUUUUUUUAAAUAAAUAAUUCCUUUACUACUGGUUGGUGUUACCGAACGGUACUAAAGGUCCCCUAGACCACCGCGCGGGCUUGUGCCACAUGGUGGACCUUUGGCCCCGGUUCGUGCUGAACCGGGACUAAAGGGGGGGUACCUUUAGUCCCCACCCUUUAGUGCCGAUUAUAGAACCGGGACUAAAGGUCCUUACGAACCGGUACAACAGGGCGUUAUUCUACUAGUGUCAGAACAUCCGCACACCAGUCAAUCUUACCAUUACCUGCUGCAAUAAAUCUACCUUUGUCGUCUCUUAAGACUACUCCCAUCGUACUCCUAAGUAAGUCAUGGUCAAAAGAAGCAUCAAUGCUAAGUUUAACAAACCCCUACCAGAGGACAAGACAACCCCCCUGUUUUCAUGGAGACCUUUUGAGGGGAAGCAGUAACAAAAUUGGUUGCAAGAGCCCAGAUUCCCAUUGAAAUCUGGUGUGCAUUUUGAGUUGUCUCCUUCUGAACCAAUGUACGCUUUUCCCACCAAAUGUACCAGGGUGAUAUGGCAAUCAUUUCACGUAUAUUCUGGAUGCCCAUCAUACACAACUCAUGAUCUAGCAUUUGAAAGUAAAUAGUCCAAAGCCACUUCACUCACACGAUCUACUUGAAAAGCUCUACCGAUAAUAUCAUCCAUCCCUAGCAUUCUCCACACUUGUUUGCUCUGUUGCAUAAAAAUAACAGAUGCUUUGAUCUUCUAGUCCAUCCGAGCAGACAUGGCAAUUGGGUGAGACUUUCACAUGUCUAUUGGCUAGCGCAACACGGCACAGAAGGGUGCGAUGUAGCGUACACCAAAUAAACUUUUUAACCUUUGUCGAGCAAGAAAGUUUCCAUAAUCUACGCCAAAUAUGAUUAACUGUGGUACGUCCCAUUCCAUUUUUGUGUCGCAACUUAUUUCCAUAUUGAUGAUCCCAUUUCACAAAAUAAGCAGACCGAAACCGAAAACAUAGCAUUUUGUUUGAAAUUCCAAGCGACGGAAUCUGGCAUAUCAUGUUUCGAGAUAGGUAUCGCGAGUACUCGUGGAACAUCUAUAGGCCACAACAUUUGCCUAAGUAGAUCUUCAUCCCAAGUAUUAAGAAUAGGGCCAAUCAAGUUUGCUCCCUUAUAACAACUGACCUCUCCUGGGAGUAACAAUUUUUAUGUUUGCAUAAUUUGGAAUUCAGACAUCCUCCCAAAUGUUAAUAUUCUGAGCAUUCCUCACUCGCCAAAUGUGACCAUGUUUCAGAGAACUCACACCCGCCAUAAUACUUUGCCAUGUGAAAGACGACCCCUUCUUUAGAUUAGUGUUAAACAAAUCACCGUGAGGGUGGUAUUUGACUCUCAGAAUAGUAGCAUAUAAAGAGUCUGAAUUCUCUAUAAGGCAUCAAGCCUGCUUAGGGAGCAUUCACACAUUUUUUUCUGAAAACAUCUCACACUUUUUUUCUUUCGAAGCACACUAUGCUUCCUUUCGGAGAAACACAACUGUGUUUCGGAAGCAAACCUGUGCUUGCACGAGAAGCAANNNNNNNNNNNNNNNNNNNNNNNNNNNNNNNNNNNNNNNNNNNNNNNNNNNNNNNNNNNNNNNNNNNNNNNNNNNNNNNNNNNNNNNNNNNNNNNNNNNNNNNNNNNNNNNNNNNNNNNNNNNNNNNNNNNNNNNNNNNNNNNNNNNNNNNNNNNNNNNNNNNNNNNNNNNNNNNNNNNNNNNNNNNNNNNNNNNNNNNNNNNNNNNNNNNNNNNNNNNNNNNNNNNNNNNNNNNNNNNNNNNNNNNNNNNNNNNNNNNNNNNNNNNNNNNNNNNNNNNNNNNNNNNNNGAAAACUGGACGAAAACCAAAAUCCUAGAAACCAAAAAAAAAAU